GACGAACGCUGGCGGCGUGCUUAACACAUGCAAGUCGAGCGGUGAACCCUUCGGGGGGAUCAGCGGCGAACGGGUGAGUAACACGUGAGCAACCUGCCCCUGACUCUGGGAUAGCCUCGGGAAACCGGGAUUAAUACCGGAUAUGACACCGCCUCGCAUGGGGUGGUGUGGAAAGUUUUUCGGUCAGGGAUGGGCUCGCGGCCUAUCAGCUUGUUGGUGGGGUGAUGGCCUACCAAGGCGACGACGGGUAGCCGGCCUGAGAGGGUGACCGGCCACACUGGGACUGAGACACGGCCCAGACUCCUACGGGAGGCAGCAGUGGGGAAUAUUGCGCAAUGGGCGAAAGCCUGACGCAGCGACGCCGCGUGAGGGAUGAAGGCCUUCGGGUUGUAAACCUCUUUCAGCAGGGAAGAAGCGCAAGUGACGGUACCUGCAGAAGAAGCACCGGCUAACUACGUGCCAGCCGCCGCCGUAAAAC
rnacentral:rRNA from 1 species